GCCGGGCACGGUGGCGCAUGCCUGUAGUCCCAGCUACUCGGGAGGCUGAGGUGGGAGGAUUGCUUGAGCCCAGGAGUUCUGGGCUGUAGUGCGUUAUACCCAUCGGGUGUCCGCCCUAAGUUCGGCAUCAAUAUGAUGACCUCCCGGGAGUGGGGGACCACCAGGUUGCCUAAGGAGGGGUGAACUGGCCCAGGUCGGAAACGGAGCAGGUCAAAACUCCUGUGCUGAUCAGUAGUGGGAUCGUGCCUGUGAAUAGCCACUGCACUCCAGCCUGGGCAACAUAGCGAGACCCCAUCUCUA
rnacentral:SRP_RNA from 1 species